UACGUAGGGUGCAAGCGUUGUCCGGAAUUAUUGGGCGUAAAGAGCUCGUAGGCGGUUUGUCGCGUCUGCUGUGAAAACGCGAGGCUCAACCUCGCGCCUGCAGUGGGUACGGGCAGACUAGAGUGCGGUAGGGGAGAUUGGAAUUCCUGGUGUAGCGGUGGAAUGCGCAGAUAUCAGGAGGAACACCAAAGGCGAAGGCAGUGUCCUGGGGAGUACCUGACGCUCAGGUGCGAAAGCCAGGGAAGCGAACGGG
rnacentral:rRNA from 1 species